UGCCAGACUCCUACGGGAGGCAGCAGUGGGGAAUAUUGCACAAUGGGGGAAACCCUGAUGCAGCGACGCCGCGUGAGCGAUGAAGUAUUUCGGUAUGUAAAGCUCUCUCAGCAGGGAAGAAAAUGACGGUACCUGACUAAGAAGCCCCGGCUAACUACGUGCCAGCAGCCGCGGUAAUACGUAGGGGGCAAGCGUUAUCCGGAUUUACUGGGUGUAAAGGGAGCGUAGACGGUCCUGCAAGCCAGAUGUGAAAGCCCGGGGCUCAACCCCGGGACUGCCCUUGGAACUGCAUGGCUGGAGUGCGGGAGGGGCAGGCGGAAUUCCUGGUGUAGCGGUGAAAUGCGUAGAUAUCAGGAGGAACACCGGCGGCGAAGGCGGCCUGCUGGACCGCGACUGACGUUGAGGCUCGAAAGCGUGGGGAGCGAACAGGAUUAGAUACCCGAGUA
rnacentral:rRNA from 1 species